UGCUCAAGAGUUAGAAAGCUGGAUCAGAUCAGGAACUAUAGUUCUUGAGUCUUAGUGGAUUUAGAUCAGAAGUUCUCCUCACUAAUUACACGCAUUAAGAAAAAUCAAGAGAAAUAGAUCACUUUCUUGUCACCAGUGGUCUUCUCCUUCUUGGAGUUGUUGACCUUGUCAAGGAAAGGAUUACCGUUAAUGGUGUUGACGGUGCUAAUAACGGUGCAGCUGAUGAUGCAAUUUCUACAAUUCUUUUACCAUGCCAUCCGCCAUAAUUCUACAGGAGAUUUGUAGCUUACCCCAUGAGCAGCCAUCUGAAAUAUAAAGAGAUAUUGCAGAUUUAUAGAUCAUACUGAUGAAUUUGACGGGUUGGUUAUGGGAUUUGCGUCGAUCUACUUCUUCACCAGAUUAUAAAGUCCUGCUCCUGACAAUGGUGGAUAGGAUGAUAUUUAGAUGAAAAUUGGCAAGAUUGUAGAUAAAGUUUUGUUAACAAAGUGGUGACCACUCAUGACAGAAGCUUCAUACUAUGAGUGUUGUUUUACAACAUAAUUAAGAGGAACAAUGGGAAUACAUUGUUAUUUUGAUAGAAGGUGCUGUCAUUAACUACAUUUCUCUCAUGGUGAGAACUAUACUGGCACACCAGCUAGUUUCAAAGCUCUCUCUCGUCUGGCAUUCUUGGCAUCAUCUGUGUAGAUUUGAAGUAUUAACUACUUUGCUUAAUGAUAAUGUACAGUAAUUGCAUUUUCAGUUAUAAUGUAUGAAAAAUAUUGUCAAGAUAUAAAUGAUUGUAACUACAACAACCACCAUGAGUUAAUGAUGGUCUUUGUAUCAUAGAAGUAGAUUUAUCAAAACAACCUGAAUAUUAUUUUUGCUAAUAUAAAAUACCUCUCGAGUCAGGUGUCUUGCUUGCUAGAUUUCUUUCUAUAGGAAAACCCAAAUUAGGUUCGUUGUUGACCGUGCCUUCUAACCUUAUGGAAGUUUGUAUGCUUGUGUCACCAUUUUUCCAAUAAAUAUUAUUCUCUUUUCCUGCAAGGUAAUUUUUAUAUAGUUGUAUGGAACCUGAUUGAAUCGGACGCGCAUGGCUUAAAUGUAUUAGCAAUUUCCAUGGUGUCAAAGUAUAAAGUUAUUAUUUAGUAAGAGUAUUAGUUAUUACUUGACAAAGGAGUUCCCAUCAUAUGAUUUAGUUCACUAUCUCGAGAUAUUGUCGGUCCCAUUAUCUUUUUUGUUGGUGUCCUAAUAUUAUCAUACAGAUUCGACACAUCAACUUUCCUCUUGUUCUUUAAAUAUGUAUGUAUUUCUCCUGAAACCAAAUAUACAAAUUAUAUUAUCCUCUUAGAAAGUUUGACAU